CGUUGAUACCCUUCAUAGUAGAAGCAUAAAUCAUUGGCUUAUCAUUUAGGGAUGACAAAGACAACGUCAGGUAAUCAAAAUUUGGCUAUUUAACUAGAGUAUCUGAAUGAUACGAAUUUCAAGAAGCAUCGCGUGAUUGUAAAGAAUGUUUUCAGCAGAUAUUCGCUGUAUCAUAUUAAUUUGUUGUGCCAGUUUUCUUUCUAUGGUUUUUGGUUCAGCAAACAAUGCAACACAUACUAAACAGUGUCUGAUAGAUAUGCUAAAUCAAUGUCCACCCAAUUCUUCAUGUGAUGAGGGCUUGUGUGUUUGUUUGCAUUCAUUCAAACAAAAUCCUGAAUAUAAUGAGCAGAAGAAUAACGAUUUUUGCAUUGAAGUAGAUGCAACAUUAUCUCUUCCCGGCAACAAAUCAAUCACGUACGACAAAAUAUACAGAAAAGCCCCAGAACCACAUCACAUAUUAGGCGGAAUUUUAAUCCCCGUUAGUGCGGUUAUAGUGAUUUUAGCCACCAUCGUAUUAGCUAAGAAAACGCAACUUAUGCAAAGGAUUCGUUUGUCCCUUUUUUCGAAUCGUCCCAGAAGGCCCGCGUAUGAAGAUGUUGUUUUAGGUAAUGAUUCCGAUGAUCCCCCUAUUAUUUAAAACAUGUAUUUCAAGUAUACUAAAAUACACUUUAUUGAUAUUUGCAGUAGGCUAUGAACAAUAAUUCCAAAGAAUGAUGGAUUCUAGAGCAUAAAAAAUAUUGAAUGUGAACAUCAAGCAAGGCUUUGAUCAACUCGUUAUUCCUAAUGGCAUAGUUAUCAUCAUACAAUUUAAGUUCAGUAAAUUUUAGAUAUGUAAAGAAAUUAUUUGAUAGAAAUAUUUUAUUUUACUUGUACAUAUCAAUACUAUUUUUCCAUAAUACAUCAACAAUGUAUAUAAUUCAUAUCAAACCAAGUAAUGUCGUUUAGAAUUUUCAAUCAAUUCAAUUGAUUUAACUUGUAUCGUAAAAGUAUUCAAUAUAAACAAAUGUGAUUGAUUGUCGAUAAUUUUCUACAUUCAAAUAGAUAAUGUAAGAUUCAAUAUGAUGUAAUGUGAACCAAAAUAAUAAAAAAUAAAAACAAUUA